UACCUCCUGGGAUUGUGUCUGGAGAGUAGCUAGUAUUCUUCCAGCUUCGGAGGGAAAUCAAGCCUAGCAGAGGUACCCAUUCCAUUCCCAGCUUGCUCAGUGGCUGGUGAUUGGAAGACACUCUGCAACAUCA
rnacentral:snoRNA from 1 species